GAUUAAGUUAUUAAGGGCGCACGGUGGAUGCCUUGGCACUAGAAGCCGAUGAAGGACGUUAUUAACGACGAUAUGCUUUGGGGAGCUGUAAGUAAGCUUUGAUCCAGAGAUUUCCGAAUGGGGAAACCCAACAUGAGUUAUGUCAUGUUAUCGAUAUGUGAAUACAUAGCAUAUCAGAAGGCACACCCGGAGAACUGAAACAUCUUAGUACCCGGAGGAAGAGAAAGAAAAUUCGAUUCCCUUAGUAGCGGCGAGCGAAACGGGAAGAGCCCAAACCAACAAGCUUGCUUGUUGGGGUUGUAGGACACUCUAUACGGAGUUACAAA
rnacentral:rRNA from 1 species